UGUUUCGGCAAGGGGGUCAUCCCGACUUACCAACCCGAUGCAAACUGCGAAUACCGGAGAAUGUUAUCACGGGAGACACACGGCGGGUGCUAACGUCCGUCGUGAAGAGGGAAACAACCCAGACCGCCAGCUAAGGUCCCAAAGUCAUGGUUAAGUGGGAAACGAUGUGGGAAGGCCCAGACAGCCAGGAUGUUGGCUUAGAAGCAGCCAUCAUUUAAAGAAAGCGUAAUAGCUCACUGGUCGAGUCGGCCUGCGCGGAAGAUGUAACGGGGCUAAACCAUGCACCGAAGCUGCGGCAGCGACGCUGAUGCGUUGUUGGGUAGGGGAGCGUUCUGUAAGCCUGUGAAGGUGUGCUGUGAGGCAUGCUGGAGGUAUCAGAAGUGCGAAUGCUGACAUAAGUAACGAUAAAGCGGGUGAAAAGCCCGCUCGCCGGAAGACCAAGGGUUCCUGUCCAACGUUAAUCGGGGCAGGGUGAGUCGACCCCUAAGGCGAGGCCGAAAGGCGUAGUCGAUGGGAAACAGGUUAAUAUUCCUGUACUUGGUGUUACUGCGAAGGGGGGACGGAGAAGGCUAUGUUGGCCGGGCGACGGUUGUCCCGGUU
rnacentral:rRNA from 1 species